rnacentral:sRNA from 1 species
GCCAGGCAUGGCGGCAUAUGCCUGUAAUCUCAGCAACUAGGGAGGCUGAGGCAAGAGGACCACAAGUUCAAGUCCAGCCUCAGGAACUUAGUGAGACCCUGCCUUAA